CCUACGGGUGGCAGCAGUGAGGAAUAUUGGUCAAUGGGCGCGAGCCUGAACCAGCCAAGUAGCGUGAAGGAUGACUGCCCUACGGGUUGUAAACUUCUUUUAUAAAGGAAUAAAGUGAGGCACGUGUGCCUUUUUGUAUGUACGUUAUGAAUAAGGAUCGGCUAACUCCGUGCCAGCAGCCGCGGUAAUACGGAGGAGCCGAGCGUUAUCCGGAUUGAUUGGGGUGAAAGGGAGCGUCGAGGGGUUGUUAAGUCAGUUGUGAAAGUUUGCGGCUCAACCGGAAAAUUGCAAUUGAUACUGGCAGCCUUUAGUACAGUUGAUUUAGGCGGCUUUCGUGGUGUAGCGG
rnacentral:rRNA from 1 species